rnacentral:tmRNA from 1 species
GGGGUUGACCGGUAUCGACAGGGAAGUAGUCUCGAUAGUAAGCAUGUCGGAGCAAGGUUGCUCACUCCGUUAAAAAUGGUAAUCAAAAAUUAAUUGGCGAGUCUAACUACGCCUUGGCUGCUUAAUAUUAGAUAUUAAAAGCCUUGAAGCCUCAUGCUUGACGCCUGAUACACAGCACGACGCUUUCAAAACCUUCAGGAUAGAACAGUAAGCUUACUCGAUUGCUGUUUGAAAUUCAGAGUAUAGGAGAGGUCCACGUUGUUCUUGUACUGAAGCCAAUCCGAAAUCCCUGAACAAGGACUAAACAUGUAGAAAGCUUUCAAGAGCUUUGUCUGGACAGGAGUUCGAUUCUCCUCAGCUCCACAA